rnacentral:rRNA from 1 species
CCGCGUGAGUGAUGAAGGUUUUCGGAUCGUAAAACUCUGUUGUUAGGGAAGAACAAGUACGAGAGUAACUGCUCGUACCUUGACGGUACCUAACCAGAAAGCCACGGCUAACUACGUGCCAGCAGCCGCGGUAAUACGUAGGUGGCAAGCGUUGUCCGGAAUUAUUGGGCGUAAAGCGCGCGCAGGCGGUUUCUUAAGUCUGAUGUGAAAGCCCACGGCUCAACCGUGGAGGGUCAUUGGAAACUGGGAAACUUGAGUGCAGAAGAGAAGAGUGGAAUUCCACGUGUAGCGGUGAAAUGCGUAGAGAUGUGGAGGAACACCAGUGGCGAAGGCGACUCUUUGGUCUGUAACUGACGCUGAGGCGCGAAAGCGUGGGGAGCGAACAGGAUUAGAUACCCUGGUAGUCCACGCCGUAAACGAUGAGUGCUAAGUGUUAGAGGGUUUCCGCCCUUUAAUGCUGCAGCAAACGCAUUAAGCACUCCGCCUGGGGAGUACGGCCGCAAGGCUGAAACUCAAAGGAAUUGACGGGGGCCCGCACAAGCGGUGGAGCAUGUGGUUUAAUUCGAAGCAACGCGAAGAACCUUACCAGGUCUUGACAUCCUCUGACCCUCCUAGAGAUAGGACUUUCCCCUUCGGGGGACAGAGUGACAGGUGGUGCAUGGUUGUCGUCAGCUCGUGUCGUGAGAUGUUGGGUUAAGUCCCGCAACGAGCGCAACCCU